rnacentral:lncRNA from 1 species
UCAAUUGAUUGAGAAUAAAUUAAAAGUUGUGUGAAUGAACCUAAUGUGACUUGAUUUAGCAAUUGGUGUUGAUUUGCCCAAAUCAUUGAGAGAAAGAAAAUUCAGCAAAGGCAAAGACCUCAAAAGCACAAAAUUGAAAAUUGUUCCAAUGGUCAAAAGACUAUGAACAAGGCUAGUAGCCACUUGGAUGGGUGACCAACUGAAAAAUAUAAACCAUGACAUCAAAAAUAGGUUGGUGACCUUUCGAAGCGAGAUCUAAAGUGCAAAAGCCUGAAUAAAGUACUUCAAGGUAAGGGCAAGUCAAUCCAAAAGCUAGAAAAAGUCUUAACAAA